UGUAUAAUGGGUCAGCGACUUAUAUUCUGUAGCAAGGUUAACCGAAUAGGGGAGCCGAAGGGAAACCGAGUCUUAACUGGGCGUUAAGUUGCAGGGUAUAGACCCGAAACCCGGUGAUCUAGCCAUGGGCAGGUUGAAGGUUGGGUAACACUAACUGGAGGACCGAACCGACUAAUGUUGAAAAAUUAGCGGAUGACUUGUGGCUGGGGGUGAAAGGCCAAUCAAACCGGGAGAUAGCUGGUUCUCCCCGAAAGCUAUUUAGGUAGCGCCUCGUGAAUUCAUCUCCGGGGGUAGAGCACUGUUUCGGCAAGGGGGUCAUCCCGACUUACCAACCCGAUGCAAACUGCGAAUACCGGAGAAUGUUAUCACGGGAGACACACGGCGGGUGCUAACGUCCGUCGUGAAGAGGGAAACAACCCAGACCGCCAGCUAAGGUCCCAAAGUCAUGGUUAAGUGGGAAACGAUGUGGGAAGGCCCAGACAGCCAGGAUGUUGGCUUAGAAGCAGCCAUCAUUUAAAGAAAGCGUAAUAGCUCACUGGUCGAGUCGGCCUGCGCGGAAGAUGUAACGGGGCUAAACCAUGCACCGAAGCUGCGGCAGCGACGCUUAUGCGUUGUUGGGUAGGGGAGCGUUCUGUAAGCCUGUGAAGGUGUGCUGUGAGGCAUGCUGGAGGUAUCAGAAGUGCGAAUGCUGACAUAAGUAACGAUAAAGCGGGUGAAAAGCCCGCUCGCCGGAAGACCAAGGGUUCCUGUCCAACGUUAAUCGGGGCAGGGUGAGUCGACCCCUAAGGCGAGGCCGAAAGGCGUAGUCGAUGGGAAACAGGUUAAUAUUCCUGUACUUGGUGUUACUGCGAAGGGGGGACGGAGAAGGCUAUGUUGGCCGGGCGACGGUUGUCCCGGUUUAAGCGUGUAGGCUGGUUUUCCAGGCAAAUCCGGAAAACCAAGGCUGAGGCGUGAUGACGAGGCACUACGGUGCUGAAGCGACAAAUGCCCUGCUUCCAGGAAAAGCCUCUAAGCAUCAGGUAACAUCAAAUCGUACCCCAAACCGACACAGGUGGUCAGGUAGAGAAUACCAAGGCGCUUGAGAGAACUCGGGUGAAGGAACUAGGCAAAAUGGUGCCGUAACUUCGGGAGAAGGCACGCUGAUAUGUAGGUGAAGCGACUUGCUCGUGGAGCUGAAAUCAGUCGAAGAUACCAGCUGGCUGCAACUGUUUAUUAAAAACACAGCACUGUGCAAACACGAAAGUGGACGUAUACGGUGUGACGCCUGCCCGGUGCCGGAAGGUUAAUUGAUGGGGUUAGCGGUAACGCGAAGCUCUUGAUCGAAGCCCCGGUAAACGGCGGCCGUAACUAUAACGGUCCUAAGGUAGCGAAAUUCCUUGUCGGGUAAGUUCCGACCUGCACGAAUGGCGUAAUGAUGGCCAGGCUGUCUCCACCCGAGACUCAGUGAAAUUGAACUCGCUGUGAAGAUGCAGUGUACCCGCGGCAAGACGGAAAGACCCCGUGAACCUUUACUAUAGCUUGACACUGAACAUUGAGCCUUGAUGUGUAGGAUAGGUGGGAGGCUUUGAAGUGUGGACGCCAGUCUGCAUGGAGCCGACCUUGAAAUACCACCCUUUAAUGUUUGAUGUUCUAACGUUGGCCCGUAAUCCGGGUUGCGGACAGUGUCUGGUGGGUAGUUUGACUGGGGCGGUCUCCUCCUAAAGAGUAACGGAGGAGCACGAAGGUUGGCUAAUCCUGGUCGGACAUCAGGAGGUUAGUGCAAUGGCAUAAGCCAGCUUGACUGCGAGCGUGACGGCGCGAGCAGGUGCGAAAGCAGGUCAUAGUGAUCCGGUGGUUCUGAAUGGAAGGGCCAUCGCUCAACGGAUAAAAGGUACUCCGGGGAUAACAGGCUGAUACCGCCCAAGAGUUCAUAUCGACGGCGGUGUUUGGCACCUCGAUGUCGGCUCAUCACAUCCUGGGGCUGAAGUAGGUCCCAAGGGUAUGGCUGUUCGCCAUUUAAAGUGGUACGCGAGCUGGGUUUAGAACGUCGUGAGACAGUUCGGUCCCUAUCUGCCGUGGGCGCUGGAGAACUGAGGGGGGCUGCUCCUAGUACGAGAGGACCGGAGUGGACGCAUCACUGGUGUUCGGGUUGUCAUGCCAAUGGCACUGCCCGGUAGCUAAAUGCGGAAGAGAUAAGUGCUGAAAGCAUCUAAGCACGAAACUUGCCCCGAGAUGAGUUCUCCCUGACCCUUUAAGGGUCCUGAAGGAACGUUGAAGACGACGACGUUGAUAGGCCGGGUGUGUAAGCGCAGCGAUGCGUUGAGCUAACCGGUACUAAUGAACCGUGAGGCUUAACCUUACAAC
rnacentral:rRNA from 1 species